rnacentral:rRNA from 1 species
GGGGUGCAGCAGGCGCGAAAACUCUGCAAUAAGCGAAAGCUUGACAGGGUUAUUCUGAGUGAUUUCCGCUAAGGAAAUCUUUUGGCACCUCUAAAAAUGGUGCAGAAUAAGGGGUGGGCAAGCCUGGUGUCAGCCGCCGCGGUAAUACCAGCACCCCGAGUGGUCGGGACGUUUAUUGGGCCUAAAGCAUCCGUAGCCGGUUCUACAAGUCUUCCGUUAGAUCCAGCUGCUUAACAGAUGGGCUGCGGAAGAUACUAUGGAGCUAGGAGGCGGGAGAGGCAAGCGGUACUCGAUGGGUAGGGGUAAAAUCCGUUGAUCCAUUGAAGACCACCAGUGGCGAAGGCGGCUUGCCAGAACGCGCUCGACGGUGAGGGAUGAAAGCUGGGGGAGCAAACCGGAUUAGAUACCCGGGUAGUCCCAGCUGUAAACGAUGCAGACUCGGUGAUGGGUUGGCUUCGUGCCAACCCAGUGCCGCAGGGAAGCCGUUAAGUCUGCCGCCUGGGAGUACGGUCGCAAGACUGAAAACUUAAAGGAA